AUAUUAUUCUAAUUAAAUCUUGAAAAUAGCUAUAUAUGCAAGCUAUAUACUAAUCUUAAUUAUUUCCUUAAUAGUAUAAGAUUAUAUAAGAAUAUACCCUACUUUUAAAACUUUUAUACCUUUACCUAUUGCUUAUUAGUUAGUAUAAGUAUUAAAUCCUUAUAUAUAAUAAAAGUAAAUAUAAAUAAAAGCUUUAGUAUAUUAUUAAUUAAUCUUAAUAUUCUUAGAUAGAUUUAAGUAAGAGUAUAUAAAACUAAACCUAAAAGAAGGUAAACUAUACUUAUAUAGAAUAAAGCUAGAGGAAACUUUAAUAAAGGCUUAUAGUAGUUUUAAUAUAUAAAUUAAUUAUUAAAUAUAAAUAUAAAAGUAAAAGACUAAUUAAACCUUUUAGUAAUUAGUUUUUACUAAAGUUUCUCUUAGAAUAGUAGUAUUAAUCUUAGUUUUAUAAAGUAAAGUAAAUAAUUAAGAACUUAAGAGUAUUAUUUAGCCUUUAUUUAUUCUUAAACUUUAAAUAUAUAAAAAGCCUUUAUUACUUAAUUAAAUAUAAGUAUUUAAAUAUAUUAAUACUAAUACACUAUUUUUAAUAAGUAAAAUUAGUAAUAUAGAAUAAACUAAAUAUAAGGUUAAGAUACUAAAGUAAAUACUUAUUAAAUACUAUAAAAGGUAUUAAUAUAUCUUAAUAGUAGGAUAAUAGCUAUAAAAGUUAGAAUCUACUAAGGAUUAUAUAAUAACUUACUUAUUAAAUAUACUAGCCCUAAAAAUAAAUAGUACUUAAGUAUCUUAUUUAUACUUUACUCUUAAGGUAGAAAUAAUACCUUAAGAAGUAAAUAAAUAUAAAGAUUAGUAAUAAAGCCUAAAGUAUAAGCCUAAGUUAAAUAGCCUUUAGUAUAAAUUUUAAUAAUAGUAAUAAAUACUUUAAUAAGAACUUAAAGGACUAAAGUAAGGAAAGGUUUUAUAUAAAUAGUAAUUAAAUAUAAAUUAGUUAAUCCUAAGCUAUAAGAAAGUUCUAUUUUAAAGGUAUACUUUAUACUAUUUAGUAAAAGGGGAGCUAGUUAAUAUUCUAGUACCUAAAUAUAGGUUUUAUAUAAUAAUAUAACUAAAUAUAAAAAUAAUAGUAAGAGCCUUAAGUAGAGUUCUCUUUUCUUCUUAAUAGUCUAUUACCCUAAAAUUAGUUUAUUUAAAGCUAGGGUUUAAUAGCUAGAAGAGCUUAGUAUUUUUAUUAAGUUUAGUAUACUCUUAAUAUCCCUUAAAAAUCUAUAGAAAGGAAUAAUUCUUAUAUUAAGUUAUACUUAUAACUAUAAUAAAUCUCUAAGAUAAAUAGCCUUUAAUUAAUAGAAUAAUAUAAAUAAGGAAAGUUAGUAAAAUAAAUCUAUAACUUUAAGAUAAGGAUUAACUCUAAGGGUUAGGUAUAUUAAGCUUUAAAUAAAUACCUUAGGAGUAAGUAGCUACUAGCUAGGUAACUAGCUAGUAAUAGCUAGUAUUUAAGUAUUAAUAUUCUUAGUAAGCUUUAGCUAUUUAGUAUAUAAUUAAUAAUUAACUUAAAACUAAUAUAAAUAAAGAGAAUCUAAUUAUCUAAUUAAAAUAUAGUAUUAUAAUAGCUAGAAAGUAGUAUUAAUAUAAUAUAAUUUUUACCUAAUACUUUAAAUAUUAAAAUAAAGUAAUUUAACUAAGUAUAAAUAAAUAAUAAGAGUAACUAUAACUCUCUUAAGGUAGCUAAAUACCUUAUUAUCUAAUUAAUAAUAUAUAUAAAUAGAUUAAUAAGAUUCUUACUAUUCCUAUUUACUAUUUAGUAAAACUAUAGCUAAGAGAAUAAGCUUAGUAAAAUUAGUAAGGAAAGAAAACCCUAUUAAGCUUAACUUUAGUUUAAUAUUAUAAAAAGAUAUAAAAAGUAUAGAAUAAGUAAGAACUUUAAUAUUAAUAAAAUAUUAUUACUCUUAUUAUUUUUUUACUUAUUUAAUAAAGUAAGGCUAGAUUUAUAUUUAACUUUUAGUUUUAAGGUCUUUUAUAAGCUAACCUAAGUUAAAGAUAUUAUUAAGUAAGGAGUUUAGCUAGGGUAAUAUAUUUAUUAAACUAUAAUAUAAAUAUCUUAAGGAAGGCUUAUAGAAAAUAGAAAUCUCUAGUAGAAUAAAAAAGUAAAAGUUCCCUUAAUUUUAAUUUUUAGUAUAAAUAUAAACUAUAAAAGUAUAGCCUAUUAAUCCUUUAAUCCCUUAAUAUUUAAGGCUAAAGGUAUUAGAAAAGUUACUAUAAAAAUAACUAGCUUAUAGUAGCUAAGUAUUUAUAAUAAUAUUACUUUUUAAUCCUUUAAUAUUAGCUUUUCUUAUUAUACUAAAGUAAAAUUUAGUAAGUAUUAAAUUAUUUACUUACUAAACCUUUUAUUAAUAGGAAUAGUUAAGUUAUCUAAGCUUAUAAUUAAGUAACUAUACUAACUAAUUAACUAUAGUAUAAAUCUAUAAGAGUUAUAUAGUAAUAUAACCUAGAUUAAGGAAAGCUAAUAUAUUAUCUAUAAUACUAUACUAAUCUUAAAUAAAGCUAUAAUAUAGUAAUAUAUAUUAUAAUAAUUUAUAUAAAGUAUAGAAAGGUAUAAGUAAAUCUUACUAAGAAUUACUUAAAGGAUAUACUAAACCCUUAAGAAACUAAGCUUAUUAUUAAAGUACUUAUAGUAUAAAAAUAGUAAGGGGUAAACUAAUACUAUAGUAUUAAUAAGCCCUUAAAGUAAAUAUUAAAGAUAAGCUUAGUAUAACUUAAAGAAGGCUUUUAAAAGCUAUUAAAAUCCUCUAAGGAUUAAAUAGAGAAUAUAAGCUAGGUUUAGAUUAUUAUAAAAUAGGUUAGUUUUACCCUAUUAAUAAACUUACUAUAAUAGUAAUUAAGCUUAGUAUAAAAAGAAC
rnacentral:rRNA from 1 species